rnacentral:lncRNA from 1 species
GCGUGCGGCCUGCCGCGAGGGCAGUGAGGGAGGGCGCAGCUCGACCCGGCCGGCCUCGUAUCCGAGCCCUGCCGGCUGGCCCAAUGAGGCCUGGGCCCCACUGUUGACGGGCAGCCAUGUUCGCCAAGUCCCCUGGUCCCCCUGGGGCGGCUUCCUUCUGCCGGGCCUUGGCUCAUCAGAGUUCUGGUUUUUGACAGAGCCCCAUCUUGGGACUAUCUAACUUUCCUCUGUCUGUGAUCCGGCUCAUCAGUUUUGCACUGGGCAGUUGGAAAGUCCCCAGAGGAAAAAAAGGAAAUCAGAAGCUGUAGGAAUGAGUAACCAGACUGACUUAUUGGCUCUUGGCACAGCAGUUGGUAGCAUUUUAUUAUACAGCACAGUAAAAGGAG